rnacentral:rRNA from 1 species
GACGAACGCUGGCGGCGUGCUUAACACAUGCAAGUCGAACGGAGAGGCCCUGCUUUUGUGGGGUGCUCGAGUGGCGAACGGGUGAGUAACACGUGAGUAACCUGCCCUUGACUUUGGGAUAACUUCAGGAAACUGGGGCUAAUACCGGAUAGGAGCUCCUGCUGCAUGGUGGGGGUUGGAAAGUUUCGGCGGUUGGGGAUGGACUCGCGGCUUAUCAGCUUGUUGGUGGGGUAGUGGCUUACCAAGGCUUUGACGGGUAGCCGGCCUGAGAGGGUGACCGGCCACAUUGGGACUGAGAUACGGCCCAGACUCCUACGGGAGGCAGCAGUGGGGAAUAUUGCACAAUGGGCGGAAGCCUGAUGCAGUAACGCCGCGUGCGGGAUGACGGCCUUCGGGUUGUAAACCGCUUUCGCCUGUGACGAAGCGUGAGUGACGGUAAUGGGUAAAGAAGCACCGGCUAACUACGUG